UACGUAGGGUGCAAGCGUUGUUCGGAAUUACUGGGCGUAAAGCGCGCGUAGGCGGGCUUGUAAGUCGAUUGUGAAAGCCCUGGGCUUAACCCGGGAAUGGCAGUCGAAACUACAAGUCUUGAGUGCCUGAGAGGAUGGCGGAAUUCCCGGUGUAGAAGUGAAAUUCGUAGAUAUCGGGAAGAACACCUGAGGCGAAGGCGGCUAUCUGGCGGUGCACUGACGCUAAGGCGCGAAAGCGUGGGGAGCAAACAGG
rnacentral:rRNA from 1 species